rnacentral:rRNA from 1 species
AGACGUCUACGUAGUUUGAUCUAUGGCUCAGAACGAACGCUGGCGGCAGGCCUAACACAUGCAAGUCGAGCGAACCCUUCGGGGUUAGCGGCGGACGGGUUAGUAACGCGUGGGAAUAUACCCUUUGGUACGGAAUAGCCUCGGGAAACUGAGAGUAAUACCGUAUGUGCCCUUCGGGGGAAAGAUUUAUCGCCAAAGGAUUAGCCCGCGUUGGAUUAGAUAGUUGGUGGGGUAAUGGCCUACCAAGUCUACGAUCCAUAGCUGGUUUGAGAGGAUGAUCAGCAACACUGGGACUGAGACACGGCCCAGACUCCUACGGGAGGCAGCAGUGGGGAAUCUUAGACAAUGGGCGCAAGCCUGAUCUAGCCAUGCCGCGUGGACGAUGAAGGCCUUAGGGUUGUAAAGUCCUUUCAGAUGGGAAGAUAAUGACGGUACCAUCAGAAGAAGCCCCGGCUAACUCCGUG